rnacentral:rRNA from 1 species
GACGAACGCUGGCGGCGUGCUUAACACAUGCAAGUCGAACGGAAAGGCCCUGCUUGCAGGGUACUCGAGUGGCGAACGGGUGAGUAACACGUGGGUGAACUGCCCUGCACUUCGGGAUAAGCCUGGGAAACUGGGUCUAAUACCGGAUAGGAGCCAUUUUUAGUGUGAUGGUUGGAAAGUUUUUUCGGUGUAGGAUGAGCUCGCGGCCUAUCAGCUUGUUGGUGGGGUAAUGGCCUACCAAGGCGGCGACGGGUAGCCGGCCUGAGAGGGUGGACGGCCACAUUGGGACUGAGAUACGGCCCAGACUCCUACGGGAGGCAGCAGUGGGGAAUAUUGCACAAUGGGCGCAAGCCUGAUGCAGCGACGCCGCGUGGGGGAUGACGGCCUUCGGGUUGUAAACUCCUUUCGCUAGGGACGAAGCUUUUUGUGACGGUACCUAGAUAAGAAGCACCGGCUAACUACGUG